CAAGGUUAGAACACUCUGGUACAAAGAAAACAUCAGGGGAACGUUCAAAUAAGGAACAAUCCAUAAGACACAACACUCUAAAAAGAUUGCAACCUCAACAGUCCAUUGAAGCAGAGAGACAACCAGUUGUCUGGGACAGCACGAAGCUCAAGUUUAAAGAGCAAGUCAGUACUUUAUCAACCUAUAAAUGUUGGAAAUGCAGUCGAGUGGGGCACCUUCCAGAUGAUUGUACUGUCAAAGUUGGCUACUCUUUGCAAGGUGGACAAAUAGGUGGAGGUUGCAGGGAACAG